UACGGAGGGUUCAAGCGUUAUCCGGAUUCACUGGGUUUAAAGGGUGCGUAGGUGGGCUGGUAAGUCCGUGGUGAAAUCUCCAAGCUUAACUUGGAAACUGCCGUGGAUACUAUUAGUCUUGAAUACCAUGGAGGUGAGCGGAAUAUGUCAUGUAGCGGUGAAAUGCUUAGAUAUGACAUAGAACACCAAUUGCGAAGGCAGCUCGCUGCGCGGUUAUUGACACUGAGGCACGAAAGCGUGGGGAUCAAACAGG
rnacentral:rRNA from 1 species